rnacentral:rRNA from 1 species
AUUGAACGCUGGCGGCAGGCCUAACACAUGCAAGUCGAACGAGUGGCGGACGGGUGAGUAAUGUCUGGGAAACUUCCUGAUGGAGGGGGCUAACUACUGGACACGGUCGCUAAUACCGCAUACCAUCAGCUGUGCCCAGAUGGGAAUAGCUAGUUGGGGGGGUAAAGGCUAACCUAGGCUACGAUCCCUAGCCGGGCUGACAGGAUGACCAGCCACACGGGAACUGAGACACGGUCCAGAGUCCUACGGGAGGCAGCAGUGGGGAAUAUUGCACAAGGGGCGCAAGCCGGAUGGAGCCAUGCCGGGGGUAUGAAGAAGUCCUUCGGGUUGUAAAGUACUUUCAGCGGGGAGGCGUUACCCGCAGAGGAAGCACCGGCUAACUCCGUGCCAGCAGCCGCGGUAAUAC